rnacentral:misc_RNA from 1 species
GAUGAAGAACGCAGUGAAAUGCGAUAAGUAAUGUGAAUUGCAGACUUCAGUGAAUCAUCGAAUCUUUGAACGCACAUUGCGCCCGCCAGCACUCUGGCGGGCAUGCCUGUUCGAGCGUCAUUUCAACCAUCAAGCCCCCAGGGGCUUGUGCUGGGGCCCUGCGGCUGCCCGCAGGCCCUGAAAACCAGUGGCGGGCUCGCUAGUCACACCGAGCGCAGUAGCACAUCUCGCUCAGGGCGUGCGGCGGGCUCCUGCCGUGAAACCCCCCACUGUAACCCCAAAGGUUGACCUCGGAUCAGGUAGGAAUACCCGCUGAACUUAAGCAUAUCAAUAAGCGGAGGA